rnacentral:snRNA from 1 species
GGAUGUGAGGGCAAUCUGGCUGUGACAUCUGUGACCCUAUUGAUCGCCAGAGUUGAUUUGGCUGAUCUGGCUGGCUAGGAGGAUGUCCCCUUCUUCCCUCACCGCUCCAUGUGCAUCCCUCCCGAAACUGCGUGCUUUGUCGAAGCGGAUGACCUUCCCCUAUAUAGGAGAGGACCGCUCUUUGUUAAGGGUAUACGAGUAGUUGUGCUCUCCUGCUAGAACCUCCAAACAAGCACUCAAAUAUUUGUUAGAAUAAAUGAAUGAACUAAAAAAGUCUUUCGUUUCAGGGAUUUAUAGCUAAUCACCGUGGUAAAAU